UAAGCCUUUGGAGCCUGGAAAAACACCUCUUUGAUUUUGGCAACCAGCUUGUCAUGUGGAGGGAGAGUUUCCUUAAUCAAAGGGCUGUCCUUCAGCUUAGCCACCCACCAUAGAAAAGCUGGAUGCUUUUUUGGGUCAAAAACCACAGUCACAGCCUCUUCAAAAGCUCGAUAAUUGCAAGCAUGUGUGCCAACAACGAUAUCAAGAAAUCCCAAGGUCUCACCGUUGAAAGGAAAUUUUAUUGAGAAAUCUUUCUCGAUGCCUUUUUC
rnacentral:misc_RNA from 1 species